ACACAUCCUCAACCUUCUUUUGGUUUUCUUGACCGGAGGAAGGCUUGGACUUUGGAGGUCUUUCAUUGCUGGUAUCCUUUUGGAGCCAGCUCCUCCUAAAUGAAUUAGUGGGAUUCGCUUUGGUGAUCCUCGACGUGAUAAGCAUUAUUCUACGUCUCGGGUUUUCGAAGUGCCUGCUUCUAACCGUCUUUAAACAAAGACAAUGACCACAAAA
rnacentral:misc_RNA from 1 species